rnacentral:lncRNA from 1 species
UGUGUAUCCCUUGUUCACACGGUCGUGCACGCUGCUCUUUUUCCUCUCCGUGUAUCCGGAAGAUGGUUCCGAAUCAACUGGAUAGGAUUUUUAAUUUCCGAAGGCACGAGCUCCCCUGGCAUCCGCAAAUGUGACCCGCAAUUUAGAGAGGAAGAGGAGCGCAGACCCUACCUGUCCGGAGUAACGGUCAGGAGAGAGGUGGGGAAGGGCUGGGCCCCUCUCGGUGUCCCGGGUUCCCGGCAGAAGUCUCCAGGGCUGAGGGAGUCUGCAGACACGGAGUUUCCGUGCCAGAGGAGCGGGUCCACGCGGACAGGCAGUUCCAGCUCCGGGACAUACUUUAUUCAGCUGGGUGCUGAAAAAGAAUCUUGGAAAUUAGGAAACUGAAUGAGGCCUCAUUUCACACUCAGAAUGUGGGUUGCAAUAGUCACUUCCUCUGCUGCUGGGAAAGAAAGAAUUAUACUACCUUUUGAAUUUUGGAUUAAGGAGAGAGGUGUUGGCUUGUCAAACUACCAUGUAUUCCUCAAGACAUAUUUUUGUGGCUUUAUAAAAUUCAAUAUAUAUGUCUAAAUUCAAAAAUAUUUUGUUGCAAUCUGGCCCUUGGACAAACUGAGGCCCUAGCAACUGAUGUUUAUGGCUUUCCGUAGAACCUUUCAGAUAAAAUUUACACAGCAUUUUACUGCAGCUAUUUCACACAAAGCAGAGGAUUUUGCCACAAAACUGAAAGAAAAAAGAAACUGCAUUCUUAAAUUUUUCAUAAAUCAAAAGGUAUAAAAAUAUCUACCUAAACGAUAAAGGAGAUGAGAAACCCCACCCAUGAUGGGAAGAAAGCCUAUUUCAGUUUUGCCUUUACUUCAAGUUCUUUUUUCCAUAUCUGGAAUGCAAUCAGAAUUUUAAUCUUGCCUUGGGUUCCUCCUGGAUUUGGGGAGAAGACAAAACCUGAAAAUCUCUAAUCUGCAUGUGUUCAGCUGCGUAUCUUCUGGAUACGGAAGGAUCACACUGCACAGAGUGCUGGACUUGCAGGAGCCCCGCUUCUCAACCUCCAUCGCUUUAUGAAUGAAUUCACCAGAAAGAAAAGGAAGAAUCAACACUUUCAGAGAUGGAGCCUGUUGAGCCACAGUACCAACUAGUCAAUGCUGAAUCGACUUCUCCCUUUCUACAUUGCCUGAGAGAAGUCAUUGGGGAAUACUCUGUACACGAAUUUUCACUGUUGGGGAAAACAGAGAGUCAAGGGAUUGGAUUGUGGAUUGCAUUGGUGGUUUUCCUCAGUUUCCUCAUCUUCUCCACAAGUUUCUACAUAUCGAAUGCAGAGCAGCCCUUCUUCAAAGGACCUCCUACGGAAGCUGCUAAGGAACUCAGUCUGUAGCUCUGCGUGGAGCCAUGUGUAAACACUGAACUGAGACCUGCCACCUCCUACUACCUAAGGGCCCAUUUUCAUCUGAUAUCAUCCCCCAGAAACAAACUCAUGAUGACUUCCAUGUUUUUUUUAGAUUAGAUACAUGGAGAAUUUUCCUUUCCCUUAGAAUUAAAAUCCUGCAUUCUAAUUUUCAAGUGAUGUUCCCAGGAGAAAUGAUAAUGCAGCAAUGGACAAGAACAGGAACAAGAGACAGUCUUACCAUCUUCUUACAAUUUAUAGAUGGGACAGUGGAAAGAGAAGCCACAUCGGGGUUGGGCAUGCAGAGACCUGGUCCUAAAUCUGUGUGACUUUUGCGAAAUCCUUUUGCCUCACAGAGCUCUAGGUUCUUAUCUGUCAAACAGGAACCAGACCAUCAGAUCCGUAGAGAUCCAACCAAUGAAGGAGACUUCGAAAACUUCACAUUGCCGUGUCAAUGUGAGGUUGCUGGAUGGUUAUGACAAGAAAUCACAUUAAAUUCACUGGGGUAACAUUGUUCAUGAAACGGGAUAAUGUGUUUCAGCGAUGAACCACCCAUGGCCUUACUACAGACAUAUUUCCACUUUGAAAAUGUGUGUGAGUGUACAUGUCUGUGUGUGAGGCAGAGAUUAGAAAGUGUAAAUGUGUGCGUUUUCAUUUUACACAUCUUACAUUUUCCUUUAAUUUGUUUGAAAGCCUGUUUUGUUUGUGGCUUCCAUUCCUGGAAGUCCCAUGAGUUGUUAGUGGUGAAGAUGGAACAGAUGUGUCCAACCCGGGGGACUCCUGCCCUCAGGGACUGAGCAGCUGCAAACCUCUCUCUCAUCUGAUUCCACUGUUUCUUCCACAUGUACACAUCAUGAGAAAUAUUGUUCAAUCAAUAUCUUCCCUUAAAUCAACUCAUAUGCUUAUUUACAUGAAUUUACCUAAAACAGAAACUUGAUAUCACUUCUGUAAAUGAAAAAAUUAAACUUUCUGGCUUUAAAUAAAGCAUAACAAUAAUAAUCAUGUCAAAAUUACCUCUCCAGUGUUAUGAAGUUCAAGUUAGGGGUGAAGAUUCCUGAAGGCCCUGGUCCUAGGUCAUAGUUGU